GACGAACGCUGGCGGCGUGCCUAAUACAUGCAAGUUGAGCGCUGAAGGUUGGUACUUGUACCAACUGGAUGAGCAGCGAACGGGUGAGUAACGCGUGGGGAAUCUGCCUUUGAGCGGGGGACAACAUUUGGAAACGAAUGCUAAUACCGCAUAAAAACUUUAAACACAAGUUUUAAGUUUGAAAGAUGCAAUUGCAUCACUCAAAGAUGAUCCCGCGUUGUAUUAGCUAGUUGGUGAGGUAAAGGCUCACCAAGGCGAUGAUACAUAGCCGACCUGAGAGGGUGAUCGGCCACAUUGGGACUGAGACACGGCCCAAACUCCUACGGGAGGCAGCAGUAGGGAAUCUUCGGCAAUGGACGAAAGUCUGACCGAGCAACGCCGAGUGAGUGAAGAAGGUUUUCGGAUCGUAAAACUCUGUUGGUAGAGAAGAACGUUGGUGAGAGUGGAAAGCUCAUCAAGUGACGGUAACUACCCAGAAAGGGACGGCUAACUACGUG
rnacentral:rRNA from 1 species